AAGAAGAAACUCCAAGAUGAAAUAGAAGAAGCCCUAAGAAGGCAUGACCUCCUUACUACCCUUGUCAAGAAAGAAUAUGAACAUAACAAGAGACUGCAAGACUUCAAGGACUGCAUUCGUAGGCAAAGGUUGACCCAAUCAAAGAUAAAAGAAAAUCGACAGCAAAUCGUUCGUGCUCGAAAAUAUUAUGAUGAUUAUAGAGUUCAGUUGUGUGCAAAAAUGAUGAGAAUGAGGACUCGGGAAGAAAUGGUAAGUCUGACUUUCUGUCCAGCCCUGUUAAGAAGGUGAACUUUGUUACCUUUCAGGACCACCUUCUUUGUUCGUGACUCUUGUCCACAUUUGAAUCCAAAAUCUAAAUCGAAGUCCUAUAGUGCUGGCCCUGAGUUCUGCUUGGCCACACUUCAUUUUCUUACUCCAUUGUGCAUUCCCGUCCAUUCUGUCUCCGUGUCCCUCAUCUUAAUGUGAAGUCUUACUUCCUCCCUGCCUCCUACACAUAACAGGUACUUCUCCAGUAAAACUACUUCAGAGGUUUGGGAACAUGUGAGAGACAAAUUUAGUGUGAUAACAUGACCUUGCAUUCCACAUAAAAUCAGGACUAGUGUCCAGCUGUGCUGUGAGGGGUUUUCCACAAGGUAUUUGCUAUGUCAUCCUAAUCAGGCUGAAAUGAUUAACCUUUUGAGAUCCCAAGCUAGCAAUAAAUUUCAUCUGUAAAAUAUUUUAGUAAUUAUAGUUUACUAAAGACUUGGACAUAUUUCUAGAGGAAGAUACUUGUAAGGCUUUGAGGAGAGGGUAAGUAACUUGUCUGUAGCUCAUGAAUGCGUGGCCGUCAGAACCAGUUUUUCUAUCCAGAAUUUACACUGAUGAAGGGAGGACAAGUGCGCAUAUCCAAGCCCUUUGAACAGUGUGUUUUCCGGUGGCCUCCCCAAAUGAUCACUCCCCCUCCUCAGUGAUGUACAUGUGUAGGUGUGGCAUGUUUCUGCUCUUGGCGUUCUUACCCUAUGUACGUGGUGGUUGCUUGACACUGCUUUUCUGAAGGUUGUAAAGAACCUCUGUGAUACAUGAAAAGAUAAUGAACACCUUAGUCAUUAGGGAAAUACGACUCAGAACCACAGUUAGAGGACAAGUGUUGGCAAGGAUGUGGAGAACUUGGGGCUGUAAAAUGGUGCAGCUGCUUUGGAAAAAAAUCUAGCAGUUCCUCAGAAGGUUACCAAAAGGUCAUAUAGAGUUACCCUAUGACCCAGCAAUUUCACUCCUAGCUAUAUAAUCACACAAAAAACACAAAUGUUCAUAGCAUUACUUAUAAUAGCCUAAAAGGGGAAACAACCCAAAGUGUCCAUCAGUUAAUGAAUGGAUAAAGAGUGUGCAUUCAUUCAUACAGUAGGAUGUUACUUGGCAAUAAAAAGGAAUGAAGUAUUCAUACAUACUGCAGUAUAGAUGAACCUUGAAAACAUGCGGAGUGAAAGAAACCAAAUACGAAAGGCCACGAAUUACAUGAUUCCAUUUUUAGGAAGUGUCCAGAAUAUGCAAAUCCAUGGAGACAGAAAGUAGACAGACUGGUGACUGCUAAGGAUGGGACAGGGGGAAUGAGCACUAGUCAGUAUACGGUUUCUUUUUGGGGUGGUAAAAAUGUUCUGUAGUGGUGAUGGUUGCACAACUGAGUAUAAUAAAACAAACUGAAUUACUUAUUUUAAAAGGGUAAGGCUGGACUCAGUGGCUCACGCCUGUAAUCCCAGCACUUUGGGAAGCUGAGGUGCAAGGAUUGCUUGGGACCAGCCUGGGCAACAUAGUGAGACGUCAUCUCUCCAAAAAAUUAAAAAUUUAGCCAGGCGUGGUGGCACAUGCCUAAGUCCCAGCUAUUUGGGUAGCCAAGGUGGGAGAAUUGCUUGAGCCUGGGAGGUCAAGGCUGCAGUGAGUUGUGACUGCCCCACUACACUCCAGCCUGGGUGACAGAGCAAUAACCUGUCUCAGAAAAAGGAGGUACAUUUUAUGGUAUGUCAAAACAUCUGAAUAAAACUAGUAUUUAAAAGAAAAAACCUUGUGAAAUACAAUCAGUAUAUACCUCUAGUUGGCCAAAAUGAUAUUCCUCAAUGACUAUUUUUACGAUUAAAUAACUGACAGAUAUUUAAGAAACUGUUUGAAGAAGGUUUAAACAUUCAAAAGCAAAGAUUACGAGACCUAAGAAACUAUGCCAAAGAAAAGCGAGAUGAACAAAGGAGACGCCACCAGGAUGAACUGGACUCCAUGGAGAACUACUAUAAGGACCAGUUUUCAUUGCUGGCAGAAGCCAUAUCACAGGAACAUCAAGAACUUAAAGCCAGAGAGAAAUCUCAGGCCCAGACAUUACAUAAGGUGAAGAGGGAGCUGAGAUCUAAGAUGGAGAAGGAAAUUCAGCAGCUGCAGGACAUGAUAACACAGAAUGAUGAUGAUGUUUUCUUCCGGGAACUGGAAGCUGAGCGCUUCAGAUCUCGGCUUCAGCUGGCUUCCUUUCAGUACAGUAAAAGUCCCUCCCUAUGAGGCCAGACUUGAUAAUAGGUGAAGGUUCUGGAGGCCUUUACCAGGACAGAGGUAGAAUCGAGCCAGUAAACAGUCUAAGCCCGAAAAAUAAUUUUCAAAUGCUUUACCUGUAUUUUCAUUCCAGUACUUUUUAUGAUUUUUUAAAUAAAAAUUGUUUUCUAAAAGCUUA
rnacentral:sRNA from 1 species